rnacentral:rRNA from 1 species
CCUACGGGGGGCAGCAGUGGGGAAUAUUGCACAAUGGGGGAAACCCUGAUGCAGCGACGCCGCGUGAAGGAAGAAGUAUUUCGGUAUGUAAACUUCUAUCAGUAGGGAAGAAAGUGACGGUACCUGACUAAGAAGCCCCGGCUAACUACGUGCCAGCAGCCGCGGUAAUACGUAGGGGGCAAGCGUUAUCCGGAUUUACUGGGUGUAAAGGGAGCGUAGGCGGCGAUGCAAGUCAGAAGUGAAAGCCCGGGGCCCAACCCCGGGACUGCUCUUGGAACUGCGUGGCUAGAGUGCAGGAGGGGCAG